GGAAGGAUCAUUAACACACUCCAAACUAUUUUUUAGUCCUUUUAUUGAUCAGUGGUCUUAUUCGAAUUGCAGCCCUGGUGGCGAAUUCUUUGUAAAAUAUAGUGACCGUAGACGAUGGAUGACUUGGCUUGUACACCGAUGAAGAGCGCAGCUAGCUGCGAUAAGUAGUGUGAAUUGCAGAAUUCUGUGAAACACUAAAUUCUUGAACGCAUCCGGCGCCUGUGAGCAAUCACAGGUACACCUGGUUGAGUGCGGCUUCUUUCUUUCUUUGAACUACCAAGUUUACUUGGUAGGCUCAAAGGUGUUGGGGAGUUCGGUUUAAACCAGGCAACUGGCAACAACCGUUCCCUUAAAUAUUGAGUACCUGAGAGAUAAUUUCAAGUAUAGAGUUCUCCUCCCACUCGUGGGCGUUGUAUCUGUCAGUAUAAACGGUAGUGGGUUUUACUGUCAACAACUUUUGGAGCGAUUCUAGAUUUGUUAUGACCUCUUGUUGGUGGUUUGACGAUUUCUCUUUGUCUACGGUUUUUCGUACUGGAGGAGAAAUACAGCGAACCAUUGAUUUUCAGUAAUGAACAGGAACGUUUCACCAACUACUUGUAGUUGGAACCACUCAUUAACAAACUGCUGCCUCAACUCAGGUGGGACAACCCCCUGAACUUAAGCAUAUCAAUAAGGGGAGGAAAAGAAACUAACUAGGAUUCCCUUAGUAACUGCGAGUGAAACGGGAAAAGCUCAUACCCUAAUCUGGCGUGGUUUACUGCGUCCGAAUUGUAGUGUUUGGAUUGGUACACGGUGGGGCCCAUAGGAGAAAGUGUGCUGGAACGCACUGCCACAGAGGGUGACAGCCCCGUACUUCUAUUGGUGUCUUGCUUACUGUGCUUUUCCUAGAGUCGGUAUGUUUGGGAGUACAUACCUAAGUGGGAGGUAAAUUCCUUCUAAAGCUAAAUACGGGUACAAGACCGAUAGCGAACAAGUAGCGUGAGCGAAAGUUGCAAAGAACUCUGGAGAGAGAGUUAAAGAGUCCCUGAAAUCGUCUACGGGUAAGCGUUUGGCUCGACUCUUGUUGCUGGUGGCUCACUUGUUGGUGAGGCACCCUUGUGCUGGAGCGGAAUCAGCCUUUGUGUUGGUCCCUCCGGUGCGGGGUGUUUUACUGGCAGGGCACUCCACCAGUGACAGCCAUCGUCGGUGUCGACUUCGGCAAAAAGGUGGUAGUUUGGUGCCAUGCUGCGUUUCGGCGUAGUGUGGAUUUAAGCUGCUGCUGUAGCUGUCGUCGGUACUGUCGCAUUAGCCAGUGCAGUGCGGUAUGGGUUUGUUCCGGGUGUUGUUGGUCAGGAGGACAGCUUGCUGUGCUUUUGGCUAGUGAUGCUCAACGGGCAGGCUCAACAACUAUUGGCUAUUACGAUGACUUGAGUUGGGCUAAAUGUCCCGUCUUGAAACACGGACCAAGGAGUCUAACAUGUGUGCGAGCCUAAGAGUGAAAAACUUGCAGGCGCAAUGAAAGUGAUUGGAUGGGAUAGGUAACACUACGGUGUUGCCUUGCACCAUCGGCCCAUUGUCUUCCUCGGAGGAUGGUGGAGUCUGAGUACACCUGUUAGGACCCGAAAGGUUGCGAACUAUGCCUGCAUAGGACGAAGCCAGGUGAAAACCUGGUGGAGGUCCGAAGCGAUACUGACGUGCAAAUCGUUCGUCAAAUGUGGGUAUAGCGGCGAAAGACUAAUCGAGCAGCCUAGUAGCUGGUUCCCUC
rnacentral:misc_RNA from 1 species